rnacentral:rRNA from 1 species
AUGCGCGCCGCUUGUUCGCGCAAAUGCCUGGCCGAGCUGCUCGGCCGCCUUGGCCAGGUCCAGGCGCAGGGCCAACCGCGCUGCCCCUCCCAGCUAUCUCCCGCGCGCUCCAUGACGCGCGGCCGGAGCGUGAACGAGCGGAGCAAGAAGAAGCGGGUGAACGACCUCGAGGUGGUCAUCGAGCGCUGCAAGGUGGUCUCCAAGGUGCUCGCCGUGGUGGACGCGCUCAAGAUGGAGGAGGAGCACGUCACCCCUCUCAAGCGCCUCGAGAUCCUGCGCCCGCAGCUCGGGCUCGCCAAGCCGCACAAGGUAGCCCACUUCGUGCACAGCUCGCCGCAGCUCUUCGAGGUCUGCCGUGACAGCCGCGGCGUCAUGUGGGCCGGCCUCUCUCCGCAGGCUGAGGCGCUCGUUGAGGAGGAGGCGCGCCUGCUGGAGGAGCACUCCCCCACGGCUGCGGAGUACGUGACCAGGCUGCUCAUGAUGUCGGUGCAACGGCGCCUGCCCGUUGACAAGAUCGCGCAUUUCCGGCGUGACAUGGGGCUUCCUCAUGAUUUCCGGGCAUGGUGGGUGCACUUGUUCCCUGAGCUCUUCAGGUUGGUCACACUGGAGGAUGGUGACUACUUGGAGCUUGUUUCCUGGAACCCAAACUGGGCGGUCACUGAGCAUGAGAAGAAUAUGGCAGCAUUGGCCGGUAACACCAAUGCCAUUUCCAAUGCUAGUACACCAGGAGAGCUCUCACUUCCAUUCCAGAUGAAGUUCCCACCAGAUUUUAAAAGUUACUACAAAUUUAGAGGAAAAGCUCAUCACUAUGUGAAAACCGGCAAUACCGAGCAGUUUCAGAAGACAACCUACCUGUCCCCUUAUGCAGAGGCAAAAGGUUUGACGCCUGGAUCUCAUGAGUUUGACAAGAGGGCAGUCGCGGUGAUGCAUGAGAUACUGAGCUUCAUGUUGGAGAAGAGGCUGGUAACUGACCACCUGACGCAUUUCCGUCGUGAGUUUGUUAUGCCACAGAAGCUGAUGAGGUUGCUACUGAAGCAUUAUGGUAUCUUCUAUGUGUCUGAGAGGGGGAAGCGGCUGAGCGUGUUCUUGACAGAGGCAUAUGAUGGGACAGAGUUGAUAAAAAAGGCUCCGCUGGUAAGGUGGAGAGAGAAGGUUCUUCGACUUACUGGUUACAGAGGAAAAAACAAGAAUAUUGGAAAAGUUCAUGAGUCGUCUGAUUCUGAGCACAUUUUGUUCGAUGCGAGCUCAUCAACAUGUGACAGUGGUAGCAGUGAUGACGAUGAUGCUGAUACUAUAUUGCAUGUCGAAAGUGAAGAUUCAGAUGAUUUCUUGGAUGAUGGCACUCUUACAGAUGAUGGUGAGAUGGAUGACGCUGGGGUGGGUUUUUUCUAG